ACGCUGGCAUUUGAGAGGGGAACGAGGGAGGACGCAGCUCGGCUCCCCGCGUUCUCCCGGGCCCUCCGAAGCGGCCGCGGGCAGUGCGCAGGAGGGUCUCUGAGCCCUGGGGUUCCGGCCGCCCGGGUGCGGGUGAGGGACCUCGCGCGAGGCCGGCGGGCGCGCACGCAGCGCACCUGCACCUGUUGGAGCGGGCCUCAACCUGCGCCGCCCGAGCCGACCUCCCAGAUAGACGCCAGCCCGGCUGCUGUCACCUCCCGAAGCGGCCGCAUUUGGCUUUAGGAAAACAAAACCAAAAAGUGGGUUUACAGUUGCACACGUCGACUCCCCUAUGGGACAGCCAGUGGUGAAGACCAUAUUUUGGAGCUAGUUCGGAGAAGGAAGUUCGGUUUUGACUGACAAGUCUCAAGAGAAAGGGAAAUUCCUUUACCUCCCUUCUGUUGGAGCAGCCACUUGUCACUUCCUGGAGUUGUUGCUGGUCCCUGAGAUGGCCCACAGAGCUCCCUCCAGCCAGAGAGCACCAGCACGCAGGACACUGAAGGACCUCUGUGCUCCUGGUGAUGCUACAGUGAAAUGUCAAGCCCAUGUGUCUGCAUCUCUCAGAAGACUCCUUUUAAUCCUUAUGAAGAGGAGAAUGGCAUUCACUGAGACUUUGCCAGGAAUGGAAGGCAACUCGCCGCUGUUGUGUGAAGAAACCUGGUGAAACUCCAGCAACUUCUACCACUGGCUGGCUGCUGAGUUCUGGCCCUUGAGGUCAAAUUCUAGAAAAGAACCACAUGGGAUGUAUAACCUGGCCAUGUCUCUUGGGUUCUUGGCUGCUGCCAGCAACAUUCUCUGGGUUUGUACUCACAUGAGAACCCUCCUUUACUAUGGAUGUGGAGGUGG